rnacentral:rRNA from 1 species
UACGAAGGGGGCUAGCGUUGCUCGGAAUUACUGGGCGUAAAGCGCACGUAGGCGGCUUUCUAAGUCGGGGGUGAAAUCCUGGAGCUCAACUCCAGAACUGCCUUCGAUACUGGAGAGCUUGAGUCCGGGAGAGGUGAGUGGAACUCCGAGUGUAGAGGUGAAAUUCGUAGAUAUUCGGAAGAACACCAGUGGCGAAGGCGGCUCACUGGCCCGGUACUGACGCUGAAAUACGAAAGCGUGGGGAGCAAACGGG